GCAAAGGUCAGCUGACUUAGAGGUAAGAUAAUGUGGUUGAGGUGGAGGCAUCAGCCAGGAACCUUGAAAGGGAAUUGAUAUUAUGGAAGACAUUAUCUUCUACUGUCUAACGAAGAACUCUUAAAGGACUUGCAGAAGCCUAAGUUUAUUGCCUGUACACCUCUUAUUAGCAUUUUGUCUUGAUUCUCAGAGAGUAUGUCCUACAGAAGGUAAAAGAAGAUGAAGUGAUAGUAAUGCUUAUAAUAAUGAAAUGUUAAUGUGCUUGACCUCUGCAGCUACCCAUCAUUAAAUAAUUAAUUUUCUGAACCUGGAUCCAUUUAUUUUCUCAUCUUAGCUUAGGUUGAGGUGUUUAAGAGGAAGAGAGAAAGAAACUUUAAAAAUUGAAGCUGAAAUAAAGUUUGACCAGUCUCACCGACAACCCAUUCAAUGUCAUACAGAAAACAUUGAAUUACACCUUGGACAUUCUUUCUAUAAGGUUAAAUAGAUGAAAGAGUAAUAUACUUCAAAGAAGUAACAAAUAGUGAAUAAACUGAGUUUUGAGGAAAUGUUAUAAUAGAUUUUUUAAAAAGAAUAGAAAUUCUCAGGGAAUCCAUUACUCAAUUUAUGUUAUCCGUUUUUCACCUGAAUGUGGAAAAAAAGUACAGAAUUUUCUUAUUUCUAUGUGGUUAUGAAAGUACGUGAAUCACAUCACAGCUAAAAGAUAUUCUCAUGUACCAGGAGAGCUUUCUGAAGGACUGAAACUUAAUAAUGGAUUCAAAAUUCUUUAA
rnacentral:lncRNA from 1 species